UCUCUCUAUGAUCGAAACUGUUCAUUCUGUAGAUAUUGUCGAGGAGAUAAACUGUGAUGAAGAUCAUAUCAAUCACGUUCUUAUUGGUACAUAAUCUGAGAGGAUUGGCGUGAAUUUUUUGUUAUGAAAAUAGGUUUGGGCAUACUGGAUCGUACCCAUCUAACAUAAAACGACGUCGCUCGUUUCUAUUGAAACAGCGGAGUAGGAACUGCCACGGUUUGUUCAAAAUUGCGAGCUUGUUCUGGUUUAUCUUCGUGAUUGAGACAGUUCAUUUCGUAGAGAUUGCCAAGAAGAUAGACCAUCUUGAAGUUCAUAUAAAUUGAAUUCUGAUUGGUACAUAAUCGAAGUAGAUCGCAGUGAAUUCAUUUUUGCGAAAAUAGAAUUGGUCACACUGUAUGAAAUCCAUGUUUUUUAUCAAAGAAAAAGAAUAAAUUCACUCCGACGGACGAAGGGACGUCCCCGACGACGGAGAUUCUCGCUCCAUUGCAGUAGCAGUGUGAGGAAUAUUUUGAGUCAUGGAUUCAAGAUUGCCAGUACACGGCAUGAAAGUUCAGAAAAAUUUCUGAGGGUAUGGAUAUUAGUGAAAUUGAAGACAGGAUCAGCAAUUUACCUGAUGCGGUUCUUCGUCGCAUUCUAUCUUUUCUUCCAACAAAAAAUGCAGUGCAAACAAGCACUUUAGCCAAAGAUGGAAGUACCUUUGGGUUUCGGUUUCCCAUAUCGACUUUGGGAGGAGAGAGAGGAGUCUGUAGUAACUUGCCGUUGGAAUUCUUGAAGGUAUGAAGUAGCAGUAACAGAGUGAUCCAUGCUGUGAUUGAUAGCCAUAUCUUGAUUACGUUUUUUUUUUUUUUUAAUCUCUUCUUUGAUUUUUGGACUUUGAAACUUCGGAAGGGCUCUGUUGUUGUUGCUGUUAUUGUUCUUCUUCUUCUUCUA